AACGAACGGUGGCGGCGUGGAUAAGACAUGCAAGUCGAACGGGACUUUCAUUGUAGCAAUAUGAUGGAAGUUCAGUGGCGUAAGGGUGCGUAACGCGUGGGAAAUCUGCCGAGAAGUGGGGGAUAGCUCGCCGAAAGGGCGAAUUAAUACCGCAUGUGGUCAGUGAAGACAUCUUCGCGAAACCAAAGCCGGGGCAACCUGGCGCUUCUUGAUGAGCCCGCGGCCUAUCAGCUAGUUGGUGAGGUAACGGCUCACCAAGGCUAUGACGGGUAGCUGGUCUGAGAGGACGACCAGCCACACUGGAACUGAGACACGGUCCAGACACCUACGGGUGGCAGCAGUCGAGAAUCUUUCUCAAUGGGCGCAAGCCUGAAGGAGCGACGCCGCGUGGAGGAUGAAGGUCUUCGGAUUGUAAACUCCUGUCAUUAGGGAACAAAUCUUCCAAGUAACUACUGGAAGGCUGAUAGUACCUGAAGAGGAAGGGACGGCUAACUCUGUGCCAGCCGCCGCCGUAAUAC
rnacentral:rRNA from 1 species